GAGGGUAUAGCUCAAAUGGUAGAGUUCAUGCUUAGCAUGCAUGAGGUCCUAGGUUCAAUCCCCAGUACCUCCA
rfam:Camelus ferus isolate Naran unplaced genomic scaffold scaffold2488, whole genome shotgun sequence.